AUUGAACGCUGGCGGCAGGCCUAACACAUGCAAGUCGAGCGGCAGCGGGAAAGUAGCUUGCUACUUUUGCCGGCGAGCGGCGGACGGGUGAGUAAUGCCUGGGAAAUUGCCCAGUCGAGGGGGAUAACAGUUGGAAACGACUGCUAAUACCGCAUACGCCCUACGGGGGAAAGCAGGGGACCUUCGGGCCUUGCGCGAUUGGAUAUGCCCAGGUGGGAUUAGCUAGUUGGUGAGGUAAUGGCUCACCAAGGCGACGAUCCCUAGCUGGUCUGAGAGGAUGAUCGGCCACACUGGACCUGAGACACGGUCCAGACUCCUACGGGAGGCAGCAGUGGGGAAUAUUGCACAAUGGGGGAAACCCUGAUGCAGCCAUGCCGCGUGUGUGAAGAAGGCCUUCGGGUUGUAAAGCACUUUCAGCGAGGAGGAAAGGUUGAUGCCUAAUACGUAUCAACUGUGACGUUACUCGCAGAAGAAGCACCGGCUAACUACGUGCCAGCAGCCGCCGCGGUAA
rnacentral:rRNA from 1 species